GGCAGUGUAGUGUAAUGGGUAAAGAACUGGUCUUGUAACCUAAAGGUCACAGGUUCGAUUCCUGGGUAGGACACUGCCA
rnacentral:tRNA from 1 species